CUUUUAGAGAUAGAAGUGUUCUCUUCGGAGACAAAGUGACAGGUGGUGCAUGGUCGUCGUCAGCUCGUGUCGUGAGAUGUUGGGUUAAGUCCCGCAACGAGCGCAACCCUUAUUGUUAGUUGCCAGCAUUCAGUUGGGCACUCUAACGAGACUGCCGGUGACAAACCGGAGGAAGGCGGGGACGACGUCAGAUCAUCAUGCCCCUUAUGACCUGGGCUACACACGUGCUACAAUGGCGUAUACAACGAGUUGCCAACCUGCGAAGGUGAGCUAAUCUCUUAAAGUACGUCUCAGUUCGGACUGCAGUCUGCAACUCGACUGCACGAAGUCGGAAUCGCUAGUAAUCGCGGAUCAGCACGCCGCGGUGAAUACGUUCCCGGGUCUUGUACACACCGA
rnacentral:rRNA from 1 species